UCCCUGGUGGCUCAGAAGUUAGAGUCCACUUGCAAUGCAGGAGAUCUGGGUUCGAUCCCUGGUUAGGGAA
rnacentral:tRNA from 1 species